rnacentral:lncRNA from 1 species
UAGAUUCCAUUUGAGAAUGAAGUAAUCCAACUCUCUCCUCUAACCAUACAAUGAGAGGCAUGCUGUUAUUACCCAAUUCUUCUGUUGAGCCACUCAGGAAGGGAGAAGUCCAGCAAAUUGGUCAUGGCAGGAGCUCCAACUACGAAGGAUGUCAGUGCUGAAGAUGGCCUUGGAGCUGUUUUCCACAUGCAGCACGUAAGCAGUGACAAGCACAUCA